CAGCCGCCUCGGGAAUACGAAGGGUGCAAGCGUUACUCGGAAUUACUGGGCGUAAAGCGUGCGUAGGUGGUGGUUUAAGUCCGUUGUGAAAGCCCUGGGCUCAACCUGGGAAUUGCAGUGGAUACUGGGUCACUAGAGUGUGGUAGAGGAUAGUGGAAUUUCCGGUGUAGCAGUGAAAUGCGUAGAGAUCGGAAGGAACAUCUGUGGCGAAGGCGACUAUCUGGGCCAACACUGACACUGAGGCACGAAAGCGUGGGGAGCAAACAGGAUUAGAUACCCCGGUAGUCCCUGUCUCUUAUAC
rnacentral:rRNA from 1 species